AGGCAGCUCCGGGGUUCGCGGUUUCACAUCGGAAACAAAACAGCGGCUGGUCUGGAAAGAACCUGAGCUACGAGCGGCGGCGGCGGGGAAGCGCAUACAAAUUUAUUAGCAGGCACACUGGGAGAACCACAAGACCUAAUCUGGGAGCCUGCAAGUGACAACAGCCUUUGAGGUCCUUAGACAGCUUGUUCUGGAGGAGAACACAUGAAAGAGAGAACCUCAAGAGGCUUUGUUUUCUGUGAAACAGUAUUUCUAUACAGUUGCUCCAAUGACAGAGUUACCUGCACCGUUGUCCUACUUCCAGAAUGCACAGAUGUCUGAGGACAACCACCUGAGCAAUACUAGACAAAUUCUCACCAUAUUGGCCAGGCUGAUCUCAAACUCCUGGGGUCAAGUAAUCCCCCCACUUUGGCCUCCCAAAAUACUGAGAUUAUGGGUGUGAGCCAUCAUGCCCAGCUGGCUAGGUAGUUCAUAAUGACAACAGAGAACGGCAGGAGCACAACGACAGGCGGAGCCUUGGCCACCCUGAGCCAUUAUCUAAUGGACGACCCCAGGGUAGCU
rnacentral:sRNA from 1 species